rnacentral:rRNA from 1 species
CCCUUAGUAGAGCGGCGCACGGGUGCGUAACACGUGGAUAAUCUGCCUGGAUGCCUGGGAUAACCAGUCGAAAGAUUGGCUAAUACCGGAUAAGCCCACGGUCUCUUCGGAGACUGAGGGAAAAGGUGGCCUCUGUAUACAAGCUAUCACAACCAGAUGAGUCCGCGGCCCAUCAGCUAGUUGGCGGGGUAAUGGCCCACCAAGGCGACGACGGGUAGCUGGUCUGAGAGGACGAUCAGCCACACUGGAACUGAGACACGGUCCAGACUCCUACGGGAGGCAGCAGUGGGGAAUUUUGCGCAAUGGGCGAAAGCCUGACGCAGCAACGCCGCGUGUGUGAUGAAGGUCUUUGGAUUGUAAAGCACUUUCGACCGGGACGAAACCGUAAAGCCUAAUACGCUUUGCCUUGACGGUACCGGGAGAAGAAGCACCGGCUAACUCUGUGCCAGCAGCCGCGGUAAUACAGAGGGUGCAAGCGUUGUUCGGAAUUAUUGGGCGUAAAGCGCGUGUAGGCGGCUUUGCAAGUCGGGUGUGAAAGCCCUCAGCUCAACUGAGGAAGUGCGCCCGAAACUGCAGAGCUUGAGUGCCGGAGAGGGUGGCGGAAUUCCCCAAGUAGAGGUGAAAUUCGUAGAUAUGGGGAGGAACACCGGUGGCGAAGGCGGCCACCUGGACGGUAACUGACGCUGAGACGCGAAAGCGUGGGUAGCAAACAGGAUUAGAUACCCUGGUAGUCCACGCCGUAAACGAUGAGAACUAGGUGUCGUGGGAGUUGACCCCCGCGGUGCCGUAGCUAACGCAUU